GGUCGCCAAGUGGUUAAGGCAACAGUUUGCAAAACUGUCAUUCGUGGGUUCGACUCCCGCCCA
rnacentral:tRNA from 1 species